AGUCUGAGCUGACUGCUGACAGGAAAUACCUCUCGUUCCAAGCUCAGAACCUCUGAAGAACUAAGGAGCAGGUGGGGGUGGGGAGACCGUCUUGGAGUGAUGGGGAAGAGGAAAGAGCAUACAAAUAUUGUCCCCCAUAUUUGGGGUUUCAUUUCCUUCCCUCACCACCCAGAGAGUGGAUAAGGGGAUGGAGGAGGGCAGGCUAGGAGGAGGAUGUGGUAACAGCUGAUUCGUCCCCAGAGGUCACACUUUCCAACAAUCAGCUGUUACUGGGGCGGAAGGCAGGAAGUUUCCUUAAAGGCACAAUGUUCUGAACACAGGCUCAGAAUUCUGGAGCUCCAAGGAACCAUAGCAAUUACCCGGCGGAGACCGUAUUCAACACAGAAGGAACUAUCUCACACUCCAGGCUCAUUUCUCCGGCUCUGUUACCGUCACCACCAAUUUGGAGCUUAUGGAAAAAGUGAUGGAUCCCCGUCUACAUGUUUCUCUUUGGUGCUGGUGGAGGGGGCGAGUGAUGAGGUGGGCUAGGUCCUACGCUUGCCGCUUUAAAAAAGCAGAUCAGCAGCUUUUGCCAAGUCAUUGGGUUCAUUUCAGUUUUUGCCCAUCCCCCGCACCUCUAGACUCUGAUUGGCCCCUGGGGAAGGAGCAGCCUCCUCAUUGGCCUCCACCUUUGAAAUCUCUACCCUAAGUAGGCCCGAGUAAGUGAGGAGCUUUGGGAGGGCCGGACAGAAUGGGGGGGGGGGCAGUGAAUCAGAGGAUGGGAUGGCGGAUCAGUUGCACUUUGGCACGGCCCGUCCCCUAAUUUCUGACCAUAAGCAUUUCCUCUACCCUAAGGUGAGGACUGUGCCAAUGAAUCUUAAGUUAGGAAGCUACCUCUUGAGAGAGUCUGGAGCUCUUCUCCGACUGGGACGAGACAUCUACAAGAAAAGGCUCAUCUGGUUAGGAAGGGCCCCCAAGGAGGCUUGGACUAGAUCUCUCCAGAGAAAGCGGGGGCUGGGCGAGGUGAGCAAUCCUCCCUUCCCCAGAAGCCCAACAGAAGAAUCUCUGCUGCCUUGGGGGCUGAUUUCCACCUUCAGUUUUGCCCACUCCUGCUAUUCCGCCUGCUCCACCUUAGAGAGCUGUGACUUCCCGCGAAGGGCAGCGAGUCAGUUUGGGGGUUGUCUAAAACAUCACUCCCAGCUCCAAAAAGGGCUAGAGCCCUUUAAGGACCUCACCGGGAUGGACUCAGAGAUCAGUUUAAAAAUGCCAACUCACACAGCGCGCUGGAUUCUGGGAAUGGGGGUAUCAGACCGAGAACUACAUUAACCAGUGUGCACUGCAAACACACACGCCUUUACUUUCUUCUGCUCUUUAGGACUCUGGUUUGACGUAGCGCUUUUCUAAGCAAGUCCCUUCCUCGGAGGGCUGGCCACACCUUUUCGCCUAUUGGUCAGCUCGCGAGUGAGUGGGCGUGGCUUAGCGCACUUUCUCUCGGCAAAGGGGUGGCCUCCUUGCCAAUCAGAGCCCAGGCGUCCGGAGAGGCGGGACCAGGGCGAAGUGCUGGCGCCCCCGAGUGGGUGUGGUCACGUUGCCCAGCAGUGGGCGGUGAUUGGCCCUGGGCGGUGCGAUCGCAGCUUGUGCGUCACGACGCCGCCAGCUGAUCGGAGACUGGAGCCGGUGUGUGCUGGGCGCUGGGAAGAGACAGCGCCGCCGGCCGUGGGGAGCUGACGCAGUGAUUUGCUCCCUUGCCCUCAGCAACCCCCACACCCAGCACCAGGCCCCCCAGACUCUCCUUCCAGCUGAACUCCCUGGGAACAAGUCAGUUGGGCUGAUCACUGAACUUCCAUUUCUGGAAUUGAGGAGCCUGAUCCUCUCACAUCCUCACCUGGCUGAGCCGCAGUAGUUCUUCAGUGGCAAGCUUUAUGUCCUGACCCAGCUAAAGCUGCCAGUUGAAGAACUGUUGCCCUCUGCCCCUGACUUCGAGGAGGAGGAGGAAGAGGAAGAGGAGUAGCUGCUCUCCCCAUCAUCUGGAAGUGUCCCCCUCCAGCCCUGGGAAUGUGGCUCUGCCAUCUUCACCCGUCAUGGAGCAGAGGUGAGGAAGGGCAGCCUCGGAACACAGAGACCAGUGAAGGACCAAGCCUGGACAGCACAGGGCCCUAUCUGGACAUCCAGCAGAGGGGCCCAUGAAGGCCAGGAGCACGCCAAGAGGAGGAAGAAGAGCCAGCCUCUGUCCACAACAAGCUUCCAGCCAUCUCCUACUUCACUCACCAUUUCUCUCCAGUCUUUCUGCCUCCCUCAGAGAUGUGGAACCAUAGGAAAGUGUCCUGUGGCUUCACCCUCCUACUUCCACCUUUUCCCCAGCCUGUAGUAUUUAUAUUAGCAGCUUCAAGGAGCAAGAGCCAGGUGUGAAAGGACAUACACAGGAAUUCAUAACAGAAAUUCAAAUGGAUAAAACCAUGAAAGAAAUGCAUGCUUUAUUAGUAAUUAAAGAAAAGCAAAUAUAUAAUAGCUGAAAGCAUUUUUCCUUUAGCAAACUAUAACAAAAAAAUAAGGCUCAACAUUGGCAAAAGAGUACUGAAAUAACACUCUCAUAUAUUGCAUGUGGCAGUAUAAAUUGGUACAGCCUUUUGGAUGCCAAUUCAGUAAUAUGUAUCUUACACCCUAAAAGCUUCCAUGUCCUUUGACCUAGUAAUUUUAUGUCUGGGAAUUUAUCCUAAGAAAAUAAUUAAGGAUUUAGUUAUAAGAUGUUCAUCCCAGCAUUCCAAUAGAGAAAAAUGAGAAGCAACUAUUUGAUUGGGAAUUCAUUCCUUUUCUGCUAUAAUGAAAAUUUGUAAUAGGGGAUUGCUUAAGUAAAUUAUUGUGUAUCUAUCCAGAUGGUGGAGUACUGCACAGCCAUUAAAAGUCAUGUAGAAGAACAUUUGACUAGAAAGAAAAAUGCUCUUUGAAUAUUAGAAAGGUUAUAAAAAGUGUAUAUUAUGUGACCUCAAUUUUAUUUUUAAAAAUAUGAGUAUAUACUUGUAUGCAUAGAACAGAUAAAAAAGAUUGAAGACAUACUCAAAAAUGUUAAUAGUGGUUAUCUUUGGAUGGUGUGAUUUUCCUCUGGUUUUUCUGUACUUUUCAAAUUUUCUACAUUAAUUGUGUAUUGUUUUCAUAUAAUAAAAAUUUAAAUGAUCAGUGUAAUUUUCUUAAACCUUUGAAGAAGUGGGUGUAGAAAAACGAAGGGAAGCCCCCAGCCCCUUAGUGAGAAUGUGGUUGGGGCAUCUGUUGGUUUAUGAACGUCAUUCCUUAGGAGUAGCUGGAAUCUGCUCUCUUAGUGCACAGGAAACAGCUCUCUGAAUUGCUGGCUGGGAGCCAGCUAAAAGAGGUGUGGAAUGGAGUAAGAUGAAAGGAAAACAGUAAAAACCUUUCACUCUCUUCAGGGGAUGAGGGGUUGGGGGAGGAUUUUCCUCUCCAGGCUGAAGGGUUCUAGAAUCCUCACAGUCCUACUUAAAGCACAUUGAGUCUUUGUUUUUCUCUUCUGAUGUGCCCCAACAUUGAAGAGACCCUGUGUUACCUUAUCUUGCCCUCAUAGAAGAGAGAUUUUCCUACUCACCUAAUAGGUCCCAAGCUCUGGGGGAGGGGAUGAUUUUCACGACUCUAGUGGUGAGUGAUUCCCUUUUGCCUCCCCUUCCUAACAAGUAGGGCCAAAAAAAGGUUGGGUG